GACGAACGCUGGCGGCGUGCUUAACACAUGCAAGUCGAACGGAAAGGCCCUGCUUUUGUGGGGUGCUCGAGUGGCGAACGGGUGAGUAACACGUGAGUAACCUGCCCUUGACUUUGGGAUAACUUCAGGAAACUGGGGCUAAUACCGGAUAGGAGCUCCUGCUGCAUGGUGGGGGUUGGAAAGUUUCGGCGGCUGGGGAUGGACUCGCGGCUUAUCAGCUUGUUGGUGGGGUAGUGGCUUACCAAGGCUUUGACGGGUAGCCGGCCUGAGAGGGUGACCGGCCACAUUGGGACUGAGAUACGGCCCAGACUCCUACGGGAGGCAGCAGUGGGGAAUAUUGCACAAUGGGCGGAAGCCUGAUGCAGCAACGCCGCGUGCGGGAUGACGGCCUUCGGGUUGUAAACCGCUUUCGCCUGUGACGAAGCGCGAGUGACGGUAAUGGGUAAAGAAGCACCGGCUAACUACGUG
rnacentral:rRNA from 1 species